rnacentral:rRNA from 1 species
UACGUAGGGAGCAAGCGUUGUUCGGAUUUACUGGGCGUAAAGGGCGCGUAGGCGGCGCGGUAAGUCACUUGUGAAAUCUCUGAGCUUAACUCAGAACGGCCAAGUGAUACUGCAGUGCUAGAGUGCAGAAAGGGCAAUCGGAAUUCUUGGUGUAGCGGUGAAAUGCGUAGAUAUCAAGAGGAACACCUGAGGCGGAGGCGGGUUGCUAGGCUGACACUGACGCUGAGGCGCGAAAGCCAGGGGAGCAAACGGG